rnacentral:rRNA from 1 species
GUGGCGCACGGGUGAGUAACACGUAAGUAAUCUACCCUCGAGUGGGGAAUAACAACCGGAAACGGUUGCUAAUACCGCAUAAUGCAGCGGCACCGCAAGGUGACAGUUGUUAAAGAUUUAUCGCUUGAGGAGGAGCUUGCGGCAGAUUAGCUAGUUGGUAGGGUAACGGCUUACCAAGGCUACGAUCUGUAACCGGUCUAAGAGGACGGUCGGUCACACUGACACUGAAUAACGGGUCAGACUCCUACGGGAGGCAGCAGUCGGGAAUUUUGGGCAAUGGGCGAAAGCCUGACCCAGCAACGCCGCGUGAAGGAUGAAGUAUUUCGGUAUGUAAACUUCGAAAGAAUAGGAAGAAUUAAUGACGGUACUAUUUAUAAGGUCCGGCUAACUACGUGCCAGCAGCCGCGGUAAUACGUAGGGACCAAGCGUUGUUCGGAUUUACUGGGCGUAAAGGGCGCGUAGGCGGUGCGGUAAGUCACUUGUGAAAUCUCUGAGCUUAACUCAGAACGGCCAAGUGAUACUGCAGUACUAGAGUGCAGAAGGGGC